rnacentral:snoRNA from 1 species
GGCCGAUGAUGUACCAUUAUUGUCUGUACCAUCUGAGAUGUUUCUCUUUGAUGCGAAUUUCUUUUUAUGCCAAUCAAGCUUCUGAGGCCC